rnacentral:rRNA from 1 species
AAGAGAGGAUUACAAGAUUCCCUCAGUAACGGCGAGUGAAGUGGGAUGUAGCCCAGCACCGAAUCCGCUCGGCCUUGCGCCUUGUGGACCUGUGGUGUUUGGGGCCCCAGCUUUCGUCUAGUGUCCACGCUCCUCAGUCGCAUUGAAGGGCUGUUGCUCCGCAGCGGGUGUCAGUCCCUUUUGUAGAGGUGGAUCGGGCGAAGGUUCGAGGGGCCUCUCGAGUCGGGUUGUUUGAGAUUGCAGCCCAAAGACGGUGGUAAGCUCCAUCGAAGGCUAAACAUUGCCACGAGUCCGAUAGCGAACAAGUACCGUGAGGGAACGUUGAAAAGAACUUCGAAGAGAGAGUUCAAUAGUACGUGAAACCGCCUAGAGGGAAACGAGUGGCUCCGCAUUGUCGGCCUGCGGCGUUCAUCUCGACGUGCAACGUGCUUCCGCCCGCGGUUGUCGAUCGGUCUGGAUCUCUGAUUCGGACCUCGUCAUUGACUGCAAGGCGCGAGGCUCGCACUCGAGUGCAUUCGCUGCGAGGCAGGGCGUCACGAUCGCUUUCUGGUGUGCAAACGACGAGCAUGUCGUCACGUUCGAGCGUCUUCACGACGGCUCGUCUCGUGCGACGGCCGUCCAGCUUGCCGGAGAGCGUGUAACGAUCACCGCGAAGGCACGGGCAAGACGGCGACUGUUGUCGAAGGACGAGCCGGUUCUACCCUCGCGGUAGUCUGGCAGUUCACGCGGCAGAGAAGCUGGCCCUGCGUGGUUUUGGAUCGGUGGCGAUUGAGUCGGCCUGCCACUCGGCCCGUCUUGAAACACGGACCAAGGAGUCUAGCAUGUGCGCGAGUCGCAGAGUGCCAAGAGACUCUCGGGCGCAAAGAAAUUGAGGUGAGAAACGUGCAGCGUUGGCCACUGGUUGACGUCUGUCGAGGUGGGAUCCGCUCGCGCCGUCUUAGGACGAACGCGUCGGCGCACCACCGGCCCGUCUAUAUGGAGCCCUCGUCUUCGGGCUUGGGACUUCGAGACGGAGCGUGAGCGUACAUGCUGGUACCCGAAAGAUGGUGAACUAUGCCUGGGCAGGACGAAGCCAGAGGAAACUCUGGUGGAGGUCCGCAGCGGUUCUGACGUGCAAAUCGAUCGUCAAACCUGGGUAUAGGGGCGAAAGACUAAUCGAACCAUUUAGUAGCUGGUUCCCUUCGAAGUUUCCCUCAGGAUAGCUGGCCCUCGAGGAAAUGAAUCAGUUUUAUCCGAUAAAGCGACGAUUAGAGGCGUCGGGGUCUACAAGACCUUAACCUACUCUCAAACUUUAAAUGGGUGAGAGACGAGGCUCGCGGUCGAACACGGAGCCUCGUGACGAAUGAGAGGGCCAAGUGGGCCGAUUUUGGUAAGCAGAACUGGCGCUGUGGGAUGAACCAAACGCGCGGUUAAGGUGCCAAACGCUAAUGCUCAGCAGAACCCAUAAAAGGUGUUGCUUGAUCUAGACAGCAGGACGGUGGCCAUGGAAGUCGGAAUCCGCUAAGGAGUGUGUAACAACUCACCUGCCGAAUCAAGCAGCCCUGAAAAUGGAUGGCGCUAGAGCGUUGGACCUAUACCGUGCCGUCCGGGCAGUUGGUUGCCAUUCGCUGGCAUUCAGUUGGACGCCCGGACGAGUAGAAGGGUCGCCGCGGUGAGCGUCGAAGUUCGAGACGUGGGUCUGGAUGGAGCCGCCGCGGGUGCAGAUCUUGGUGGUAGUAGCAAAUAUUCAAAUGAGAACCUUGAAGGCUGAAGUGGAGAAGGGUUCCAUGUGAACACCGCUUGGUUAUGGGUGAGUCGGUCCUAAGAUACGGGAGAAAUCCUGUUGAAAAGGAGCAAUGACACAAGAAUGCUCAUUCGCAUCGAAAGGGAAUCGAGUUAAUAUUCUCGAACCUGAGCACGGAAAUCGACUCCUCGUGGGUCCACAGCUGUAAAGCAAACGAAAUCGGAGACGUUGGCGAGGGCCCCGGGAAGAGUUUUCUUUUCUUUGUGAGGGACCCAAUCCCUGGAAUCGGCUCGACCGGAGAUAGGGACACGGGUUCCGUAAAGCACCGCGGUUCUUGCGGUGUCCGGAGCACUCUCGCCGACCCUUGAAAAUCCGAUGGAGUGGUAGUAAUUUUCGUGCCAGGCCGUACCCAUUUCCGCAUCAGGUCUCCAAGGUGAAAAGCCUCUAGU